rnacentral:rRNA from 1 species
GGGUUGUGAGGUUAAGCGACUAAGCGUACACGGUGGAUGCCCUGGCAGUCAGAGGCGAUGAAGGGCGUGCUAAUCUGCGAUAAGCGCCGGUAAGGUGAUAUGAACCGUUAUAACCGGCGAUACCCGAAUGGGGAAACCCAGUGUGACUCGUCACACUAUCAUUAACUGAAUCCAUAGGUUAAUGAGGCGAACCGGGGGAACUGAAACAUCUAAGUACCCCGAGGAAAAGAAAUCAACCGAGAUUCCCCCAGUAGCGGCGAGCGAACGGGGAGGAGCCCAGAGCCUGAAUCAGCAUGUGUGUUAGUGGAAGCGUCUGGAAAGGCGCGCGAUACAGGGUGACAGCCCCGUACACAAAAGCGCAUGUGCUGUGAGCUCGAUGAGUAGGGCGGGACACGUGGUAUCCUGUCUGAAUAUGGGGGGACCAUCCUCCAAGGCUAAAUACUCCUGACUGACCGAUAGUGAACCAGUACCGUGAGGGAAAGGCGAAAAGAACCCCGGCGAGGGGAGUGAAAAAGAACCUGAAACCGUGUACGUACAAGCAGUGGGAGCCCCACCACCAAAGCAUUUGCUGUACCGCGUUGACGGAGCGAAGCGACGUCAAACCGAUAAAACAGCAGUGUAAAGUGAGCCGCAGGGCGCUUUGCGCGACAGCGCAAAGGCAGGCGGUUUCGCGUAGCGAAAGCGAAUGCUUUGGGGUGGGGUGACUGCGUACCUUUUGUAUAAUGGGUCAGCGACUUAUAUUCUGUAGCAAGGUUAACCGAAUAGGGGAGCCGGAGGGAAACCGAGUCUUAACCGGGCGUUAAGUUGCAGGGUAUAGACCCGAAACCCGGUGAUCUAGCCAUGGGCAGGUUGAAGGUUGGGUAACACUAACUGGAGGACCGAACCGACUAAUGUUGAAAAAUUAGCGGAUGACCUGUGGCUGGGGGUGAAAGGCCAAUCAAACCGGGAGAUAGCUGGUUCUCCCCGAAAGCUAUUUAGGUAGCGCCUCGUGAAUUCAUCUCCGGGGGUAGAGCACUGUUUCGGCUAGGGGGCCAUCCCGGCUUACCAACCCGAUGCAAACUGCGAAUACCGGAGAAUGUUAUCACGGGAGACACACGGCGGGUGCUAACGUCCGUCGUGAAGAGGGAAACAACCCAGACCGCCAGCUAAGGUCCCAAAGUCAUGGUUAAGUGGGAAACGAUGUGGGAAGGCCCAGACAGCCAGGAUGUUGGCUUAGAAGCAGCCAUCAUUUAAAGAAAGCGUAAUAGCUCACUGGUCGAGUCGGCCUGCGCGGAAGAUGUAACGGGGCUAAACCAUGCACCGAAGCUGCGGCAGCGACACUGUGUGUUGUUGGGUAGGGGAGCGUUCUGUAAGCCUGUGAAGGUGUGUCGUGAGGCAUGCUGGAGGUAUCAGAAGUGCGAAUGCUGACAUAAGUAACGAUAAAGCGGGUGAAAAGCCCGCUCGCCGGAAGACCAAGGGUUCCUGUCCAACGUUAAUCGGGGCAGGGUGAGUCGACCCCUAAGGCGAGGCCGAAAGGCGUAGUCGAUGGGAAACGGGUUAAUAUUCCCGUACUUGGUGUUACUGCGAAGGGGGGACGGAGAAGGCUAUGUUGGCCGGGCGACGGUUGUCCCGGUUUAAGCGUGUAGGUGUGUGUUCCAGGUAAAUCCGGUUCACUUUAACACUGAGGCGUGACGACGAGGCACUACGGUGCUGAAGCAACAAAUGCCCUGCUUCCAGGAAAAGCCUCUAAGCAUCAGGUAACAUCAAAUCGUACCCCAAACCGACACAGGUGGUCAGGUAGAGAAUACCAAGGCGCUUGAGAGAACUCGGGUGAAGGAACUAGGCAAAAUGGUGCCGUAACUUCGGGAGAAGGCACGCUGACACGUAGGUGAAGUGAUUUACUCAUGGAGCUGAAGUCAGUCGAAGAUACCAGCUGGCUGCAACUGUUUAUUAAAAACACAGCACUGUGCAAACACGAAAGUGGACGUAUACGGUGUGACGCCUGCCCGGUGCCGGAAGGUUAAUUGAUGGGGUCAGCGCAAGCGAAGCUCCUGAUCGAAGCCCCGGUAAACGGCGGCCGUAACUAUAACGGUCCUAAGGUAGCGAAAUUCCUUGUCGGGUAAGUUCCGACCUGCACGAAUGGCGUAAUGAUGGCCAGGCUGUCUCCACCCGAGACUCAGUGAAAUUGAACUCGCUGUGAAGAUGCAGUGUACCCGCGGCAAGACGGAAAGACCCCGUGAACCUUUACUAUAGCUUGACACUGAACAUUGAGCCUUGAUGUGUAGGAUAGGUGGGAGGCUUUGAAGUGUGGACGCCAGUCUGCAUGGAGCCGACCUUGAAAUACCACCCUUUAAUGUUUGAUGUUCUAACGUGGACCCGUUACCCGGGUUGCGGACAGUGUCUGGUGGGUAGUUUGACUGGGGCGGUCUCCUCCUAAAGAGUAACGGAGGAGCACGAAGGUUGGCUAAUCCUGGUCGGACAUCAGGAGGUUAGUGCAAUGGCAUAAGCCAGCUUGACUGCGAGCGUGACGGCGCGAGCAGGUGCGAAAGCAGGUCAUAGUGAUCCGGUGGUUCUGAAUGGAAGGGCCAUCGCUCAACGGAUAAAAGGUACUCCGGGGAUAACAGGCUGAUACCGCCCAAGAGUUCAUAUCGACGGCGGUGUUUGGCACCUCGAUGUCGGCUCAUCACAUCCUGGGGCUGAAGUAGGUCCCAAGGGUAUGGCUGUUCGCCAUUUAAAGUGGUACGCGAGCUGGGUUUAGAACGUCGUGAGACAGUUCGGUCCCUAUCUGCCGUGGGCGCUGGAGAACUGAGGGGGGCUGCUCCUAGUACGAGAGGACCGGAGUGGACGCAUCACUGGUGUUCGGGUUGUCAUGCCAAUGGCACUGCCCGGUAGCUAAAUGCGGAAGAGAUAAGUGCUGAAAGCAUCUAAGCACGAAACUUGCCCCGAGAUGAGUUCUCCCUGAGACUUAGAGUCUCCUGAAGGAACGUUGAAGACGACGACGUUGAUAGGCCGGGUGUGUAAGCGCAGCGAUGCGUUGAGCUAACCGGUACUAAUGAACCGUGAGGCUUAACCUUACAACGCCGAAG